rnacentral:lncRNA from 1 species
AUGUGCUUUCCCCACAGGGCUGAUCAGCAGGACCUGCCUUCUGAGCUGCCACCUCCAGGAAACCCUGCAGGAGCUGUCCUUGGAGCCGUGGGAUCAGCUUGUGGACAAAACUGCUUUCACAAAUUCCUUGUGCUGAGGCUGUCAUGGAGGAUCCCAUUAAGACUUGUUUCUUCCUCUUGUGGAAGCCUUUGGGAUUGUGCCUCACAUCCCACCAAGGAGAAACUCAGUGUCAUAAAAAUACAAAAAACAUGGAGCGUUUCCUCAGAAGUUGUCUACAUCCAUGUGUUCACCUUGCUGGUCCCUCUGAAAGUCAAGGCAGGUAGCCCAAGGCUUCCUGCUGCUGCUGAAUCAUCAGGGCUUUUUUUCAAAGCAAAACAAAGAAGGAACAAAGGAUGUGGUCCCUGAUAGCUGUUCCAGGGAUUGACACAUUGCCCUGGCUGGUGUGGCAGGUGCCCAGGAGUGACAAGAAAUUCAGCUCAGUUCAGCUGCAGAUGAAAGUUGUAACUUUCCAUGGAAACCAUUGGAUUGAUUCUCCACCUUUGGCUACAGGUAAUUGCUUUACCUCAUGCAAUUAUGUGUGGCAAUUAGAAGUAGAUUGUGUAAGGAAUAGCAAAAACCAUGACUACAUCCUCUGUGUUUGUGGUCUGUUCCUUUAAGAGUGAUUAUGGGUUUUUUUAACAGUUUCUUUUUUUUAGCCCAACCUGUCUCUUUCUUUCUUUUUAGUUGAUGAAGCAUAAGAAUGAAAAAAUAAAAGUAUAUUUUCAGCACA